rnacentral:rRNA from 1 species
GAUGAACGCUGGCGGCGUGCCUAAUACAUGCAAGUCGAGCGAACGGACGAGAAGCUUGCUUCUCUGAUGUUAGCGGCGGACGGGUGAGUAACACGUGGAUAACCUACCUAUAAGACUGGGAUAGCUUCGGGAAACCGGAGCUAAUACCGGAUAAUAUUUUGAACCGCAUGGUUCAAAAGUGAAAGACGGUCUUGCUGUCACUUAUAGAUGGAUCCGCGCUGCAUUAGCUAGUUGGUAAGGUAACGGCUUACCAAGGCAACGAUGCAUAGCCGACCUGAGAGGGUGAUCGGCCACACUGGAACUGAGACACGGUCCAGACUCCUACGAGAGGCAGCAGUAGGGAAUCUUCCGCAAUGGGCGAAAGCCUGACGGAGCAACGCCGCGUGAGUGAUGAAGGUCUUCGGAUCGUAAAACUCUGUUAUUAGGGAAGAACAUAUGUGUAAGUAACUGUGCACAUCUUGACGGUACCUAAUCAGAAAGCCACGGCUAACUACGUG